rnacentral:rRNA from 1 species
GAGGAAUAUUGGUCAAUGGACGAGAGUCUGAACCAGCCAAGUAGCGUGAAGGAUGAAGGUUCUAUGGAUUGUAAACUUCUUUUAUACGGGAAUAAACGAAUCCACGCGUGGAUUUUUGCAUGUACCGUAUGAAUAAGGAUCGGCUAACUCCGUGCCAGCAGCCGCGGUAAUACGGAGGAUCCGAGCGUUAUCCGGAUUUAUUGGGUUUAAAGGGAGCGUAGAUGGGUUGUUAAGUCAGUUGUGAAAGUUUGCGGCUCAACCGUAAAAUUGCAAUUGAUACUGGCAGUCUUGAGUACAGUUGAGGUAGGCGGAAUUCGUGGUGUAGCGGUGAAAUGCUUAGAUAUCACGAAGAACUCCGAUUGCGAAGGCAGCUUACUAACCUGUAACUGACAUUGAUGCUCGAAAGUGUGGGUAUCAAACAGGAUUAGAUACCCUGGUAGUCCACACGGUAAACGAUGAAUACUCGCUGUAGGCGAUAUACGGUCUGCGGCCAAGCGAAAGCAUUAAGUAUUCCACCUGGGGAGUACGCCGGCAACGGUGAAACUCAAAGGAAUUGACGGGGGCCCGCACAAGCGGAGGAACAUGUGGUUUAAUUCGAUGAUACGCGAGGAACCUUACCCGGGCUUAAAUUGCAACCGAAUAUGGCGGAAACGCCAUAGCUAGCAAUAGCGGUUGUGAAGGUGCUGCAUGGUUGUCGUCAGCUCGUGCCGUGAGGUGUCGGCUUAAGUGCCAUAACGAGCGCAACCCUUGCCGAUAGUUACUAACAGGUUAUGCUGAGGACUCUGUCGGGACUGCCAUCGUAAGAUGUGAGGAAGGUGGGGAUGACGUCAAAUCAGCACGGCCCUUACGUCCGGGGCUACACACGUGUUACAAUGGGGGGUACAGAGGGCUGCUACCACGCAAGUGGAUGCCAAUCCCAAAAACCUCUCUCAGUUCGGAUUGAAGUCUGCAACCCGACUUCAUGAAGCUGGAUUCGCUAGUAAUCGCGCAUCAGCCACGGCGCGGUGAAUACGUUCCCG